rnacentral:rRNA from 1 species
AUUGAACGCUGGCGGCAGGCCUAACACAUGCAAGUCGAGCGGAUCGGGGGACGGGUGAGUAAGAGCUAGGAAUCUGCCAGGUAGUGGGGGAGAACGACCGGAAACGGACGCGAAAGCAGCUUACUCUCAGAUGCGACUAGGUCGGAUUGGCUAGUUGGUGGGGUAAGGGCCAACAAAGGCGAAGGUCCGUAACUGGUCCGAGAGGAUGAGCAGUCACACUGGAAGUGAGACACGGUCCAUACUCCUACGGGAGGCAGCAGUGGGGAAUAUUGGACAAUGGGCGAAAGCCUGAUGCAGCCAUGCCGCGUGUAUGAAGAAGGCCUUCGGAUUGUAAAGCACUUUAAGUUGGGAGGCGUUACCAGCAGAAUAAGCACCGGCUAACUUCGUGCCAGCAGCCGCGGUAAUAC